AAGAAGAAGAAGAAGAAGAAGAAGAAGAAGAAGAAGAAGAUAGAUUAGGCUCAAAAAUAUCCUGUGCUCCAAAUCCUUGAAUGGAACCUGGGAGAAAAAAGAUUAAAGCACAGUUUUUGUAUAUGCCUGAUUGCCUGGGAUAAAAUUUGUUGUGUAAAUUAAAUGCACAGAUAACAUUCAAGGAUUGUUUCAGAAUAUGAAUCUAAAAAAGAGUUUAGCCAGGUGCCGUGGUACAUGUCUAUAAUCCCAGUGGCUCUGGAGGCUAAGGCAGCAGGAUCACAAGUUCAAAGCCAGCCUCAGCAACAGUGAGGUACUUAGUAACUCAGUGAGACCCUGUCUCUAAAUAAAAUGCAAAAUAGGACUGGGGAUGUGGCUCCGUGGUUGAGUGCCCCUGAGUUCAAUCCCUGGUCCCCCUCCCCGCACACACACACACACACCAAAAAAAAAAAAAAGAGUCUGAAGCCAGAAAAGAGAAAUAAGGAAGUUAUGUUUUAGUACAGAAAAUUAGCAUGUAAAAGAAAUGUUUCUGUAUGAGAAAGUAUUUUGUAUAAUAAAGUAAUAUUCCUGUGCUAAAAUCCAAAAUGAAAGAAAGGACAAAACUAAGGAUUUAAACAAGUUGCAGAAUGUCUAAGUAAGUUGCAGAAGAUUUGUGGAAGGUAAGUCUCAAAAAGUUUGUGUAUAUGAUUAAAUUGGUUAUAAUUAGCACAAAGUUAUUCAAAUGUUAAUGUACCGAUUAUGAAGCAAAGUCUAAAACAUUGAUCUGCUCUUAUCUAUCAAGAUAAUUUUCUUUUUUCUGUGAGGUUUUAUUACUGAGGGCAAUGAAGUCUUAAAGGAAUUAAGGUUUGUAACUGUUUUAAAGUCUAUUAAAUAAUUACUUCAUAACUGGUUAAAUAAAUAACUGUUAUUUUAAGUUAUUACAAUAUAAUUGACACCCUAAAUACAUGUGACUAAAGAGAUGUAUACAUCUGAGAACUAUGUUUGUCUGAGUCUUAUCUGUUAUGUAAAGUUUGUAAAAUGAGAGUUUAUGUAGGCUUACCAGCAAAGUAACCAGUAAGUGUUCUCUUUUAUACAUUGUAUCUGACAUAGAAGGGUGACCUGUUAUUUGAAGAACUCUUCUUAUAUCCAUUCACUCUAAUCAAAUCUAUUUUUGGUCAUUAACACUGUUUCCUAAAUGUAUAAGAGAUUCAAGGCUACCCUUUGAUUUUUGUUAGUACUGCUAAUCCAUGUAGACCUGUGAUUAUUGUUACCAUACACUAUGGAUUCUAUAUUUUACUUUAAAGUUAAAUUUCAUUAACAUAAGGACAUAUGUAUAAUUGUGAUACAGAUGUCUUAGAUGUAUUGGUAUACUAAUGUUCUUUAAACAUACAGACUUUUUAAAAUGUAAAGCUUAAGAGAGCACUUUACCAAGUUGGUGUUCUCCAAACAAAAAUUGUAGCAAUAGUCUUCUUCAAAUUUAUUUAGAAAUAACAAAUUUGACUUGGUGUUUAUUUAUGUCAUUUAAUGCUAUGUAACUGAAUAAAGGUAACCUGCUGUCAAUAAGUUA
rnacentral:lncRNA from 1 species